AGAAGAAAAAGCACUGUUAAAACCAGAGUAUCUCUCCAAAGUGAUUCAGGCCUUUUCCAGCACACGCGUGCGCGCGCACACGCACACACGCACACACGCACACACACAGUGACAGGUAACCUAUGCACAGCCACAAAGAUGAAGUGCACUGGCAAAAUGCAGGUUGUCUAAGAACACUUUCCAAUAAUGCUUGAUUUGAAAAUUAUCCAUGGAAAGAAGAGAGUCCAAACCCGACACCUAGAAGUGUUUUGCGAAGAACUAAAUACAGCAGAAAAUUGGCAGAAGACUAAUGGAUGAGUGAAGUCUUGAUUCCUAGAUGAGAGCAGAAUGCAAAGGCCUCUCUGUCUCAACUUUUCCAACUUCAGAAAGCACAUGUAUUUUACAUGUUCUAAGAAACUCUCAAAAAAGAACAAGUAAUUUCAAGAAAUGCCUGGAAUUACCAUUUCAUGGGUUAUGGUAACCCAGUGGGACUUGGAUAGUUCUUGUAACCAGUUCUUGUAGCCAAAGUACCCUCCGCUGAGAGUAACUCAAUGAUGUAGGACUUUCUGUUCAGAGGAAAAACUAUGUUGUGGUCACAGAGUUGUUACAACCUCCACUCAUGAGUUAAAAAAAGAAUCAUUCACAAGCAUUGUAAACUCAGAUUUUAAAAAAUACGAGGGAAAUAAGAUCCUUAAUGUUUUCUAAAAUUGCUUGUUUUUCCUCUUUUAGUCUUAUUUUUAUACUCUCUCUUAAUCUAAUCUUACUUCUGAUGUAAUACUGUCUUAUCUCUCUUUCCUCCUGCCAGAUUGGAUGAACUGUUUCAUAGUGGUUAAGGUGGGAGGAUACAGACUGCUUUGUUUUUGUUUUGUUUCUUAAUUUCUUGUCUAUGCUAGUCCAUGUUAGAUGAUAUUAGACAAGACAUUUAAUUUUCCUAAGCUCAGCUUCCUUAUCUGUAAAAUGAAGACAGUAAUAACAGUACCAAUUUUAUAAGAACGUUGUGAAGAUUAAAUAAGAUAGUGGAUAUAAAGUACUGAGCACAGUGUCCAGACCAUAUCCAAGUGCUCUCAAUGUUAGUUCUUCUUUCUAAAUGUGAGUUCUUUUUUCUGUGCUCAGAAAUUGUGCUACUUUUUGCCUUGUUUAGUUGAAUUUUAUAAGUACAUUUACCUAAUUUCAUUCCCUAUCAUUUUGCCCUCCUAAAUGUUUAAAAUUAUUUCUGAACAUCUUAAAAAAUCACAAAUUUAAGAAGCACAUUUUAAAAUGAGAGGAUGCUCAUGUUCACAAUGAUACACAUGUAAAUAGCUCUGGUUUCUUGAGGGCAAUGUUGUUCCUUACUGCUGCAUCCCCCUAGCACCUGAAACAGUGAAUGCCUGUCACAUAAUCGGUGCUGGAUAGGUAUUUGUUGAAUGAAUGAAAUGAGUUGGGGACAAUUUAGUAACAAUGUAAUACUCUGGCUACUGAAACCAGAGAAACAUCAAGUAGGGCAAACAGACAUGUAAACCAAUCACAUUUGAUAGUGAAAAUUUUAUGCCCUGGGAGCUAUGGGGGCAAUGUGGAUACCAUUUAUGGCUUCAUCACCAUGCCUUGUUAUCCAACUCAUUUCUGGCCAAUUCAACUGGAUGACCUUAUUUUCAAGAACUUCUUUUAUGACUAGACUUGUGGCAUAUAUCAUUCCAUUCUGUUUCCUCAGAGAUAAUGUGUUUGCCUCUGAUACACUGAAAAUGAACUGGAACACUCUAUUAUUAAUCUUACAUGAAAUAUGCAGUUUGGUGUGAACUGUGCAUAAGGAAAAGAUCUUAUUUUAUCUAUAUAUUUUUUCCAAACAAAAUUUCACUCCCCUUCAGGCUAUAAUUCAGAUUAGAAAUUUGGCAAUUAAAUUAGAAAAUAAAUUCUGGUGGUACAUAAAACACUUAAAAAAUAUGAUUGCUUAAACCAGGUUCUUAGUUCAUAAACUGACCCAUAAAGACUAGUCCUUUAAUGAUAACCAUAAACAAAGAACCUAUUUGGUCUCUGAAAAGUUUAUACUUUCUUUUCCAUUGAUUACUCGUCUUUGUUCUUUCCUCUUGAUCUUUCUCUUCUAAAUAGCACAAAUCUUUAAAGGGAGGAUUGUGGCAAUUAAAGAAAGGCUAGAAUAGAAGAAUAGAAGACAACCAUGACUCAAACACGGGAAAGGAUUGUCAUAGCCACGUUGUUACUCAUAGUUAAAUAUUCCUUCCACUUGUGAUAUGUAUAAAUGGAUCACUUUUAGCUCCAGAAACACUGAACAGGCUGAAUAUUUUGCAAAAUGUUUCCCAAAUUUCUGUUACGUUUAUACCACCUUCAUGGUAUUUGCCAUGCCCUGUGUACUACUAUGUACCUAGAUAGUUUCCUUAACUCAAUUUUAAACUGUCUACAUAUCUUAGGUUUAACCUAAACAAUAGUAUUGGGAAGAACAAGCACUUGUUUUUAUAUAUUAUAUUAUAUGUUAUAAUUUAUAUUAAAAUAAGUACACAAUAUGAAAAUGAGUAUCUGUCCAUGUGCUACCACCCAAAUAUUUCACUUCCCAGGGGAACAUGUACCAUACUUUAGGAAAUAUUACUUAGUGC
ensembl:lncRNA novel transcript